GUAUUCCCGCUCCAGAAAAUUUGGCAAAUUCCUCCUUUCAAUCUGAAAGCUAGAGAAAGUUCCAGAAAACCACGGAUUACGUUAUCUUCCUAACCAAGCAGGCCGAAGCAAGGCGGGUCUACAUGCGACCGUUCGUGCUCCCCGGCUCCAUUUAUAAUUCCUGUAUUUUGUAAAGCUGAGAUGACGCCGUAAAUAAUCGCUCGAGCGUCUACCCGCCGCCGAGUCGGCGGGAGGAGCAGGUGAUGACUUUCUGAGCAACGCCCCGGAAGACUCCUUGACAAAGCUUCCCUCUCCGCGCGAUAAACAGAAAAGACACAGUCCCCACUUCACCCCCCAGAGGCGCCACCAGACAGGGAGUUUUUCUGGUUGGGCUGGACCUACACAUGUGAAUCCUUCAAAGGGCUCAGCCCUUCAGGAAGUCAGACACAUGUCCCUGCUGGCCUGGAAGCAAACGUCCAUGUCAGGAACUGUCUACGGAAACCACACAGCAAGGAACUGUGGUUGACACCCAGGAGCUGAGAGUGAUCCCCAGCCAACAGCUACCAAGAAGAUGGCAACCUUGGUCCUAUAUUUGGAAUUCUGCCAACAACCUGAAUGUGCCUUGAAGGAGACACCCCAAGCCUCACAUGAGAACUGCAGCAUUCUCAGCUGUAAUGUGCCCAGAUUUCUGACUGAUGAGACCUUGGAAUAAUAAAUGAGUG